rnacentral:snRNA from 1 species
AUACUUAUUGGCAGAGGAGACAUCAUGAUCAGGUGGGUGGCUUUCCCGGGGGAAGCUUAUCUCCAGCAUUCCACGUGUGUCAACCCCUGUGAUUUCCCCAAAUGCAGGAAUGUCAACUGCAUAAUUCGCAUGAGUGGUAGUUUUUUGUUUUUUUUU